ACUUAUAUAUUUUAAAAGUAAUAGUGCGUUGAAGUUGCAAAGGUGGCAAGGGCCUGUAAGUA
rnacentral:tRNA from 1 species